rnacentral:lncRNA from 1 species
AUGAAAGAAAAACAGAGAAAAGAAAAAGGGAGAACGGGAAAGGGAAGAAGGACGCUGGUGAUGGAAGAUUCGAGAGAGAGAGGGAAGUCGGAGAGUGAAGGAACGAGAAAAGCGAGGGGGAGAAGGAGCAAGGCAACGGUGCGAGCUAUAGAAGUGCGAAAAAAUAGAGACCGGAGAUAUAGUGAAUUAAAUAUUGAAUAUAGGAUGACGAAAUAUGAAU